rnacentral:rRNA from 1 species
UACAGAGGGUGCAAGCGUUGUUCGGAAUUAUUGGGCGUAAAGCGCGUGUAGGCGGCUUUGCAAGUCGGGUGUGAAAGCCCUCAGCUCAACUGAGGAAGGGCGCCCGAAACUGCAGAGCUUGAGUACCGGAGAGGGUGGCGGAAUUCCCCAAGUAGAGGUGAAAUUCGUAGAUAUGGGGAGGAACACCGGUGGCGAAGGCGGCCACCUAGACGGUCACUGACGCUGAGACGCGAAAGCGUGGGUAGCAAACAGG